GAUGAACGCUAGCUACAGGCUUAACACAUGCAGGUCGAGGGGAAACGAUGAGAGAGCUUGCUCUCUUAGGCGUCGACCGGCGCACGGGUGAGUAACGCGUAUCCAACCUACCCAUUACAGGGGGAUAACCUUGCGAAAGUAAGACUAAUACCCCAUGGCAUUUUAUGGUGGCAUCAUUAUAGGAUUAAAGAUUUAUUGGUAAUGGAUGGGGAUGCGUCUGAUUAGCUUGUUGGCGGGGUAACGGCCCACCAAGGCAACGAUCAGUAGGGGUUCUGAGAGGAAGGUCCCCCACAUUGGAACUGAGACACGGUCCAAACUCCUACGGGAGGCAGCAGUGAGGAAUAUUGGGCAAUGGGCGAGAGCUUGAACCAGCCAAGUAGCGUGCAGGAUGACGGCCCUAUGGGUUGUAAACUGCUUUUAUAGGGGAAUAAAGUGAGCUACGUGUAGUUUAUUGCAUGUACCCUAUGAAUAAGGACCGGCUAAUUCCGUG
rnacentral:rRNA from 1 species